rnacentral:lncRNA from 1 species
ACAUGAAUUAUUCCAAAAAGAGCUCACUAAGUAAAAAAAAAAGGGAAACAACCAGAAUUUUUUUACUUAGGCAAAAGUUAGGGCAUCAUGUUUAAAAAAAAAAGGCCCGCUAAGUCAAAAACUAAAACAGAGUUGACUUAGGCAAAAGGGGCAUCCCGAUGGACCACAAUUCAAAAGAAUUGGUCCGUGCAAAAAUAGGGAUUAAAAAAAUAAAAAAAAUAAAAAAAUGGAAACAAGCUUGUAAGUGAAAGUAAGUGACUGCCACCUCAAGAAUCUCAUCAGUACUUGAAUCAUUACAUCUACUUCCAUCAUUAUCUAUCAAAAUUCUCUUGCAGACUAAAUGUAUUUGUUGAAUUAAUUGGAUUUAGGAAUGAAGAUCAUCAAGGAGA